rnacentral:lncRNA from 1 species
UAAGCCCGCAUGACCCAGGCACAAAGUCCUUAAAUUAGGCUGCACCUUGAGAUCUCCCAAACAUUUCGAGGCAUCAGGGCAAGGGAAAGACAGAAUCCAAAAAAACAAAAGGAAGCCUUCCAGGGAGAUGGGAUUUCUCCAGAAGCCAAGAGGAGUGUCAGGAGAGUCUGGAUACUCUGAGAAUCAAAAAAGACUCCCGCUGAAGAACUAAAAUGGGCUAUAACAAAAUAUAAAUGUGGCCCCAAAAUAGAACACACUCAGCUUGAGACACAAGGCAUUGCUAAUUAUAUGAGUCAGAUUCCCAUUGCUGAGACAAGAUACUGAAGAUAAGCAACUUGUGAAGAUUUUGGCUCAUGGUUUCAGCCCAUGGUUGCUCUGCCCUGUUGCUAUAUAUGUGAAAGAUAGAACACCAUAGCCUGGGAAAACCUGCUUAUGUCUUAGCAGCCAAGAAGCAGAAAGAAAAAAGCAUGAAGGAGAAUGAAACAUACCCUUUAAUGGCACACACAGCUAAAGUGACCUGCUUCCUCCAACUAGGUCCCUUAUGUGAAGAUCCAACAAGCUCCAAAUAAUGGUUAUGAUACAAAUCCAUAAAUGAAUCCAGUGCUGAGUGCAGCCCCCUGACCCAAUCACAUGCCCAAGACCCAACCUCUGAACACUGUUGCAUUAUGGAUCAAGACUACAACACAUGAGCCUUGGCUCCCGGAGUGGGGGGUGCAUUUCAGAUAAAACAUUUCCAGUUAACUAUUGACCUUUGACAAGGUAUUUCUCUUGUUACUCCUACUCAGAGCAUAGUCACUUGGAUAUCACUUCUGCCUCAAAGAUCAAUACACAGUCCGAGCCUAAAAAGGGGAUCCUUAAUGUUCUGACUUUUCAUAAGCAUGAAUUUGCCUGACAUUCCCACUCAGUGCUACUUAGCCAAAUGGUUUACUCAACAAUGUACAUUUGUAGCAAAUUUUAAUACUUCACAUUUCAUACUUAUUAUUUACCAAGAACAAUUUUUAGAAGCUUAAGAUACAACUUAUAUGCAAUAAGCUAUCUGUACAUAAAUGUGGUGAUACAUUAUUUAUUAUAGAUUUAAUAAAGAAGUAUCAGAAUGCAAAGCCAGCCACACUAGUUAGCUAUAGAAGCUUGAGGGUGAUGGUACACACCUUUGAUCCCAGGACUCAGAAGACAGAGGUAGACAAAUCUCUGUUAGUUCAAGACCACUAUGAGCUACACGAAACUGACCCAGUCUAAAAGAGAAACAGCUCACACAAAGGUGAUAUCAGCACUUGGGAUCCCACAUCUUUAACCGAAGGAUUUGAGAUAUAUAAAAGAAAGAAGCAAAGAGUCUCAUGAGAGAAUUUUUCUCCAGCCUCACUGAGGAGAGGCAGCAGUCUGGGUUGCAGUCUGAGGAUUGGUGGAAACAGGGUUGCAGUCUGAGGCUUGGUGGAGAGCAUGGACUCUGAGGAUUCAUGGAGACGGGAUUGACAUUUCACUCUGAGAUAGAGGUAACAUAAAGUUUAAAAUGUUAUAAAAUUUUAAAAUGAUAGACACUCAUGAUACCAUUGGCACAUUAAGAUAAUAAGCACUCCUAUCACGCUUGAAUUUUCUUAUCCUUCAUUAUGGUCCUUCCUCUCCAUUCCCUGUGUUUCUUCAUCGUCCAUUGAUAUGCUUACCACUACUAUGCAUUAGACUGCAGUUCUUUGGAUUCUGUAGAAACAGAACAGCAUGCAAUUUUUUUAAGUCUGGUUUCAUUCACCAACCAUAACUUGUGAUUUAGCCAUGAUACAGCAUAUAUCAGUACUUUUCUUUUUAAAGCUGAGUAAUUAUUUCAUUCUGUAGAUAAACCACAGUUUGCUAAUACAUUUGUUUAUCUAUCCAGAUGUUGAUUGACCUUUGCUCACCCACCCCCGGUUUUUUACUAUAAUGAAUGCAGCUCCUGAAUAUUCAUGAAAACAUAUGCAUACACAUCUCUUGACUGCAUACCUAGAACCAGAAUAACCAGGUCAUAGAAGAGACAUGUGUAUUCUUUUCAGGGAUCUGCCACAUCAUUCCAAAGUGGUUGCACCACUUUACAUUCCCAUCAGUGGUAUAUUAGAACAAUGCUAUCUGAUUAGAACUACUUCAAAGAGUGAAGUAGUUUUGUUUACUGUGCUCAGGCUGGAGCACCGUGAAACCCCAGGAAGACAGUGUAAAACCAAAAGAGCAAGGACUAGGGAAGAAGGCAGGAUUGUAGCCUGAAUUUAUUUGGGGGAUGCCUCUCUCAUAUUUAAAGCCCUUCUUCAUGAUAUUUCAUUCAGCUCGCCUUUACAUACCUAUAAUUAAAAAUGAUAUCUUUUAGAAAAUGUAUCUUCUAUACACAAUGGAAUAUUUUUCAGUCUUAAUAUAGAAAAAUUGACAAUUGCUAAAAUAUGGAUGAAUCCUGAUGAUCCAAUCAUAAAGACCGAUAUUAUAUUAUUCCACUUCUGUGGGUUCCCUGGUUAGAAUCAUGGAUUCAGAGGGUAGAAUAUUGGCAGUCAGCAGGUGGGCUAAGGGAUAGAACAGGGAGCUUCUGUUUAGUCAGUGAAGUUCUGUAGUUCGGAAGGUAGAAAGUGUUCUGGGGUUAACUGUACAUCAACAUGGAUACACACCACUACAGAGUGGGCGCUAAGACCUCCAGGUGGAAAAUGCUGUGUUGUGUAUAUUUCACUACAAUAAAAUAACUAAAAUGAAAUUAAAGCUAUAAUGACUAUCUGCAGAUACAGGAGGAAUACCAUGCAUCUUUGAAAUUGAUGUCAUUUGACUUAAACUCUAUUUCAGCUUACAUCAGUUUGCUAAAGUAAUUCAUAUACCACACACCGGCAAAGCCUGUACCAAGAAUGUUAGGGGGAAACUAAUAGAAAAUUAAUAGCGAGGUUUUACAGAAUAUUUAAAAUAUACAAAAUAAUAAUGCCUAGAUGCCAAUGCCUUUCUUUAGGAGUAUUUCAUUCAGUUUGUCUUAUCUGUCCAAACUACUUUUCUAGAAAAUAAUUGUUAAAAAUCUCAAUGGCUGGUUUUGUAAGAUGGGGGUGGAUGUGGUUUAAUGUGUUUUCAUUCACUGGUUUUUGAAUUUCAUGUUCCCACUGUGCCUUAGCCCGGACUUGGCUUAUUUAUCCGAAGGGCAUGACUAAAUUGGAGCACUCUUCUUUGGGUGUGGUUUUUCUUUCUCUGGAGGAACUUCAAAAGGAGCAGCUCUUGUGAGCCUGGGGUUGAGUCCUUCUGUAACCAUGACACAUUGGAACAAAGAGACUUACCACUUCAAGAAGCUACAACUUUUAGAAGAGUGAGGAUUAGCAGUUAAUGUCACUGAAGGAGGGGUAAGCAAGAGAAUUGAUGACCUCUGAUGAUUCUGGGAAUCUUGGCUCAGUAUUUAGGAUAAUUUUACAUAAAGACUGUAUGAAUAGUAGAUGUUCUGAAAGUUUUCUGAUGACUCCUGAAAUAAUAUAAAUAAGAAGGAGGAUCCUUAUUGUCUUUUGAACAACUAGUGAGUACCAGGCAUCAGUUAGUCCUUAUCUCAUAGAAUCCUCCAGAUCUUGUAGACUCCUCUAGUUUUCUUUUUUUUUUUUUUUGAGACAAAGUAAAGUGCAAGAAAUGUAGGUGAGUUAAUCUCCUUAGAGGUGGAAGAAUAACUUUACCCAAAGCUCCCCAAUCCAGCACUUUUCUGCUUUGCUAUAAUGUUACCUCCUCUUUUAUAUGUCUACUGGGGGUCGCGUGAAUGUGUAUAUAUUCUUUAUGUUCCCAUGGUGACUACAAUGUUGAGUGGAAUUUGAG